AAAUCAUGGUGAGGGAAUUUUUUAAAUAUUUUCUUAAAUCUCUCCCAACUUUUAUAAAUUGAUUCUCCCCUAAAACUGAGCAAAAUAUGUAAUAUCAUUUCUAAGUUU